rnacentral:rRNA from 1 species
CAUGUAGGCGGAUUAAUAAGUUUGAAGUGAAAUCCUAUAGCUUAACUAUAGAACUGCUUUGAAAACUGUUAAUCUAGAAUGUGGGAGAGGUAGAUGGAAUUUCUGGUGUAGGGGUAAAAUCCGUAGAGAUCAGAAGGAAUACCGAUUGCGAAGGCGAUCUACUGGAACAUUAUCGACGCUGAGAUGCGAAAGCGUGGGGAGCAAACA